rnacentral:rRNA from 1 species
CAGUAGCCGCGGGAAUACAGAGGGUGCAAGCGUUAAUCGGAAUUACUGGGCGUAAAGCGCGCGUAGGUGGUUUGUUAAGUUGGAUGUGAAAGCCCCGGGCUCAACCUGGGAACUGCAUCCAAAACUGGCAAGCUAGAGUACGGUAGAGGGUGGUGGAAUUUACUGUGUAGCGGUGAAAUGCGUAGAUAUAGGAAGGAACACCAGUGGCGAAGGCGACCACCUGGACUGAUACUGACACUGAGGUGCGAAAGCGUGGGGAGCAAACAGGAUUAGAUACCCGCGUAGUCCCUGUCUCUUAUAC